CUGGCGGAAUGCUUUACACAUGCAAGUCGAACGGCAGCACGGGAGCUUGCUCCUGGUGGCGAGUGGCGAACGGGUGAGUAAUGCGUCGGAACGUACCGAGUAAUGGGGGGUAACGCAGCGAAAGCUGUGCUAAUACCGCAUACGCCCUGAGGGGGAAAGUGGGGGAUCGCAAGACCUCACGUUAUUCGAGCGGCCGACGUCUGAUUAGCUAGUUGGUGGGGUAAUGGCUCACCAAGGCGACGAUCAGUAGCGGGUCUGAGAGGAUGAUCCGUCACACUGGAACUGAGACACGGUCCAGACUCCUACGGGAGGCAGCAGUGGGGAAUUUUGGACAAUGGGGGCAACCCUGAUCCAGCCAUUCCGCGUGAGUGAAGAAGGCCUUCGGGUUGUAAAGCUCUUUCAGCCGGAAAGAAACGGUACACACUAAUAUUGUGUGCUAAUGACGGUACCGGCAGAAGAAGCACCGGCUAACUACGUGCCAGCAGCCGCGGUAAUACGUAGGGUGCGAGCGUUAAUCGGAAUUACUGGGCGUAAAGCGUGCGCAGGCGGAUUGUUAAGCAAGACGUGAAAUCCCCGGGCUUAACCUGGGAAUGGCGUUUUGAACUGGCAGUCUAGAGUGUGUCAGAGGGGGGUGGAAUUCCACGUGUAGCAGUGAAAUGCGUAGAUAUGUGGAGGAACACCAAUGGCGAAGUCAGCCCCCUGGGAUAACACUGACGCUCAUGUACGAAAGCGUGGGUAGCAAACAGGAUUAGAUACCCUGGUAGUCCACGCCCUAAACGAUGUCAACUGGUUGUUGGGGGAGUGAAAUCCCUUAGUAACGAAGCUAACGCGUGAAGUUGACCGCCUGGGGAGUACGGUCGCAAGAUUAAAACUCAAAGGAAUUGACGGGGACCCGCACAAGCGGUGGAUGAUGUGGAUUAAUUCGAUGCAACGCGAAAAACCUUACCUACCCUUGACAUGUCCAGAAUCCUGCAGAGAUGCGGGAGUGCCCGAAAGGGAAUUGGAACACAGGUGCUGCAUGGCUGUCGUCAGCUCGUGUCGUGAGAUGUUGGUUAAGUCCCGCAACGAGCGCAACCCUUAUCAUUAGUUGCUACGCAAGGGCACUCUAAUGAGACUGCCGGUGACAAACCGGAGGAAGGUGGGGAUGACGUCAAGUCCUCAUGGCCCUUAUGGGUAGGGCUUCACACGUCAUACAAUGGUCGGUACAGAGGGUUGCCAAGCCGCGAGGUCGAGCCAAUCCCAGAAAGCCGAUCGUAGUCCGGAUUGUUCUCUGCAACUCGAGAGCAUGAAGUCGGAAUCGCUAGUAAUCGCGGAUCAGCAUGCCGCGGUGAAUACGUUCCCGGGUCUUGUACACACCGCCCGUCACACCAUGGGAGUGGAAUCUGCCAGAAGUAGGUAGCCUAACCGCAAGGAGGGCGCUUACCA
rnacentral:rRNA from 1 species